UCCCCUAGCCUUCGUCCAAGAAAAAACUGUGACAAACAAAAGCUCGUCCCUAGCAUUAAAAUGGAAGGGCUUAAAUCCAAGAAAUAAUUAUGGAUAAAGGUCCAAUAAGACAUUACUAUGGUUAUUAAAUGAAUGUCAUUAAACUACUUGCGACUAAGAUAAAAUGUAGUUGUCUAUCAGAAAUUUGUUCGUGCUAGUGUUCAACAAACAAAGAGAUGGGUGAGCAUUAGUUUGUCAGGAGUAAUUUCUGACUUAACUAUCAUCGUACCAAAGAGAUGAAUUAUAGCCCAAUCAAAGAACAAAUUCAUGUUGAUUUUAAAAUGGGACAAACAGUAUAUUUAAAAACAUUCCCAAUCUGGUUCUGUCCUUAUGCUUCAGAGCUUUAUAAUGCUCAUCACGAAAGAUAUUAUUACCUUAAGUCCUUUUACUGCCUUCACUCUGAUUAGCAUCUUCUUGUUUUUGCUUGUUAGAACCUAGCUGCCAACAAACUAACGAGACAACACAAAUAAGUUAAAAUUUAAUUCUAUAUAUCCAACAUAAUAUCAUUCAAGCAAGGUGCUUUUUUAGCAUCCAGUUCUUGAAACAUUUUACCAGCACCUCUCUCUCUCUCUCUGCGUGCGUGCGUGCGUGUGUGUGUGUGAACUAGGAUGGGAUAAAUCAAAACCAAAAUUGGGGUGAUGGAAGGAUUCAAACUCAGGUCCUUGGUACCAACCCAAAUUCUUAUCAACACUUUAUUCAUGUAGGCAUACUAUGGGCAGAGCUAGAACAUCAAUCAAAUUAGUGAAGCUUUCCAGCUUUAUUAUAGGCUGUAAGAUCUUGCUACUACCGUUUCCACUUGUGACUUCUAUACUAAAUC
rnacentral:lncRNA from 1 species